GGUUGCCCGCUGAGCUGCUGCAGGAGGUGCCGGUUCUGCGCGUGCGCGAAGGCCAUCGCCUUCUCGCCAGGGGCCAGCAAUGCUGCCUCUGCCUCACGCCAUACCUGGUGCGGCAGUGCGUGCGAGCGCUGCCAUGCGGCCACCAGUUCCACUCGCAGUGCCUGGCGCGCUGGCUGCUCGACACGUCCGCCACCUGCCCCAUAGACGGCACGCCCGUCAGGCACGACCUGCUGCGGAAGGCGCUCCAGAGACGGUAUUCGGUGCGGCUGGACUCAGAAAACUGGGGCCCUGGCCAGCAGCAGCAGCAGCA